CGACAAUGAUGAAAAACAUGAACAAAAAAACACCAUCUUUCGGGACUGAUUGGUUCAUCCAUGUGUCAUGCUGUCAAAUAUGCAAUUCUGAUGUCC